AUGCCAUGAUGAGGGCAUUUGCACAACAACUCCUUAAACCGCUCCCAUGCCUCAUGUAAAAAGAUUCUUCAUCAAGUUGCUGAAAUGAAGUAAUCUCAUUGCGGAGUUU